UCUUUCUCUCUUUUUCUCUCUUUCUCUGUAGUAGUGUUUGCUAUAAUGGAGUUUUAUUGUACCACGACUAUAGACCUAUAGUGGGUUGAAUUUUAAAUGGAGAUAGUGGGAUAGGUGGCAAAGAUCACUCUCUACGGAUUCCUUCUUUAUCUCUCUUUCUUUGUGUCUGAGCAAAAACUAAAAAACCCUCUGGUUUUUAUGAGUAUAUCAACAGAUACUACUACCCAUAAUUUAUGAGUAUAUCAACGGAUUGGGUUACUAUAUGAAGAUAUUCAAUCAAAGCAGCAAGGCUCCAUAUCAAGUGCGUACUUGGUAAAAUUUUGAAGAUACGAUAGUGCAAAUGAUGAUGAGUUGUAAUCACUAAGCAUUUACUUCAUUAGGGUCGGCUUUUGCAUUUGACAAGACUGUACUAACCAAAAUGGUAGAGAGUGGCAUGUAUGCAAUGAGACCAGAAAUUGAAAUUUCGGGCUUUUCAUCAUCCCACCAAACUGAAGAAGAGCAGCUUGAUUUCCUCGAAAUUAAUCUACCUAAUUAUGAUCCUGGAUUGCCAGUUUGUCCCUUCUGCUUACUGCCUGUCUUUCCUAGCACUCUUGCGGAGCUAAACGAUUUCAAGGAAGAGAUCCCUGCCAUAUUUUUAAAAUACGAGUUGCCUCCACGCAAUUCAUCUGAGACAGAUGAAGAAUGGAGUUUCUUAGAUUUCUUGGAGAAAAUUCCGCCAGCCAAAGUUACUUGGGAAUUCGAUAAUAUGAAUAAAGUACUCCACUUUGGGCAAUAUUUUCGAAAAAUAUUUAUGGGUAUUGCGGACAUUCUGUACUCAUAUCAUAAGAGUAAUUUAUUUUCCGGUGAUGUCAUUGGUCGAAUGAGGAUUCAUAAUGACCUACGCAUUGCCCACCCCUAUACACCCGCCAACACCAGUCAUAACGAUUAUUUAGAUGGGAAAUCAAGAAAAAAGAAAAAAGAUUUAGAUGGGAGAAAAGUAGAUAUCAUGCACUUCCGGUGGCUUGUUGCAAAGGUUGUGAGAAAAUUCUUUGGAGAAGAUUAUGAAUCGCACUUAUCUAAGUAUUUCAAGCUUUGUUUUUCGGAAUUAUUUCUUCACUCGGAUGGGUUGGAACGCUACUACAUGUUUCAAUAUUAUCAUCCUGUGUUCUACAAUGAUGGGGAUAAAUACAAGUUGGUCCAUGUGCUGGCUGAUCUUCGAAAACGAGACGUACUGUACUUCACACAAUAUUUUGGGCUUCAUGAUCCUGAGUACGGCUAUCAUUGUUGGUGGUCAUCACUUGCAAAAGAAAAUGACGAAUCAAUGCUUGGUGGUGUAUAUUUAUACAAAGAUAAUAAGAUUGCCGCGUAUGACAAUAAUUCAAACAGUCUACCGAUUUUUCUCCGGAACUGUCACGAGCACCAUACAGGUGGUUCUGAGACGAAAAACAGGAGGAUUAUAGAACGCAACCAACAGAUUGAAGAGGAGAACAGAGAGAUUCAAAAAAAAAACAAAAAGGUGCAACAAAGAAUGCUUCACUGUGGUCAACAAGCCAAUUUAGAGCUAGAGCGUAAGUUGACUACACCAAAACAAAAUAUUCUACCGGAUCAACUGCCGUUCCACUGUGAACUUGAACCCAAGAUAACCGAAAGGUUUCCAGGUAUCUACGCAUGUAUGAUUGACUCGUGCAUUCGAGGAUUUAAUGAUAAUGGGGAAAGGCGUUUUGGUUGCACGUUAGCCCAAUUGCUGUUUGAUAAGAGCCCAUUUGGUUGUCAGCAGCAACAACAGGUGGGGUAUAUCGGUGCCGCUACUUUGCAGACUGAGAUCGCUCCUUAAAGAGAGACGAAGAAGAAAAAAUGUAGGGAGAAAGGUGAUUUUUUCUGCAUAUCAUAAUGUGUGAUGAUGAAACUUGCAAAUUCACCAUGCUCAGGAACAGUUGGCACGCCUGAAGUUGCUCUAGCCAAUAACUAAAAAAGAUAAGUUAGAAUAGAAUUUGCAUUUUGCUAAAUAAUGCAAUACUCACUAUUUAUCCUACAAAGAGUUGUGUAUAAAUACAAAUUAUAAUGCUCAUCUUAGUUACUGCACAAUGUUUUAGAAGCCGUGAGUAUGGGACUAAGCUAUGGGCUGGUGCAAAUGAGAUGUGUAGAAGCUCCCAAAUUUUGCAGGGAUGCUGGAUUCCAAAAACUAGUGCUGUAAUGCUCCAAUAGGCAAUCGUAUAUUCCUCAUGUGAAUCUAAGUUAGCAUUUGUUAUUGCAGAAAUUCAACUGCUGUCGAUGGCUUUUAAUGGUUGAUAACAUUCUAAUUCUCUAAUGCAACUAGUUGUGUUUGAUUG